rnacentral:lncRNA from 1 species
CACUGUGCAAACAAAAAAAGGCAACAAGCAUGCUGGGACCAUUCUGUCUGCUGUUUGGGUCUCACUUGUCCUGACAACUAAAAAUCAUCAGUGGAAAGGUAUUCUACAUUUUUUAUUUGAGGUAAAGAAUUGUGGGUGAUAUUAUCUGGGUAUUUAGAUCGCAAAGAGAUCAAAACAGACCCUGAUAUUUGGCCUAAGACAGAAGAAAGACCAUGAGGAGGCCUUAGACCUCAGCAGGCCAUUUCCAUCUUACUGUCGUAUUCUUACACAGACAGGAAAACGCACCGCAGAUGAACUAUGUUUUUCAACUGAACUCAAUUCCGAAAUACAAGGUAGCUCACGUGCGAAUGGCCCACACGGAGAAUCAAUGUCCCUGUACCAUUGAUGCUGGGUCUAUGUGAUACCUGAAGUUUCAUGGCAUUUUAUUAAUUUCUAUUUCUAAACUAAAAGUGCACCCUGCUCUGCUAAAAGGCACAGAAAACAUACAGAAUGUAAACCGAGAACAUGGCAUGCCACAGAAAGUAUAAACAGAAAACCCUGACUUAGAGAGACAUGUAAAAACUAGAGCAUUUUACAGACACGCCCACUACCUGGCCAAACUGGAUGCAAGAAUUUGGAAGUGCAUAUUGGAAAUAAGCGAAGUUUUCUUACAAGUCAGCUGAUAAGAGAUUUGACUUUGAGAACGUUUAAGCAAAGAUGAAAGCUCAAGGAAUUGCAAUAUUGAGAGUUCAAUAUACUCUACUGUGGGAAAAACAAAAACAAAAUAGAAACGAAACGAAAUUUUUGCAAGCUUGUUGUUGUGAAAAUACGCAGAUCAUGAGGUCAGGAGUUCGAGACUAGCCUGGCCAACAUAGUGAAACCCCAUCUCUACUAAAAAGAAAAGAAAAUGCUUCACUCUAGAAUUUUGAUGAGAAGAAAAGCGCCAUGAAGACUCACGUGCAGCUUCCUGAGGAAUCUGUGUUUCACCCUAGGAUUUCUGAAAAGAUGAUUGGAUCCAGAAAUGGAUGAGAGAUUUCCUUGAAGAUUAAGUGAUUUAUUCACAGAGCAUUACUCCCUCUGCAAAUGCAAGAGGGCAGAAAAACGAGGACUCUGCUUACUGCUGUGAUGCUGAAGAAGGUUCAACCAAAGAAGCCUCACAUCUUUUGUUCUCCUGGCUGAAAACCAGGAAGAAGAGCAAUGUUAAAAAAAAAAGUACAUUUCAAAGUGAUGAAUGAAAACAGCCUUUGAAUGAUGGAUUUAGAAAACGUACUUGUUCCAUAAAAAAUAUCUCACAGUAGAAAAUAAAUUUUCUCAUUAUCAAGGUUUUCAAUUAUUAUCAAAUAAACCAUUUGAGUCAUGUCUUUUAGUAUUAAAGUCAAGGAAAGCAUUGGUGUCCCAUUUGCAGUGAUUCAUAGUAAGUUUAGCAGAUUCACGAUGGCUGGGUUUAUUCAAAUUUGUCAUUGAGCAUUCAAAAACAAUUCUCUAAAUACAUUUUCUAUUUGUUAUCAUAUAAAUCAGUGAAGCUAGAGUCAUCCUAACAAGAGUGAUAGUCUUUCCCCAAGUGAGACCAGGCUGUGCUGUCUGGGGAAAAGCAUUGCUGGCCUUGUCGAGAUGCACCGACGACUCAGCUCAGCUAAGGACUUAACCAGUACAGGACUUGCUGCAGCGGAGCCUGAGCUGGAUAUGGAAAGCAAAAGAAGCAAGAUCUCCCUAUGUUGCCAAGGUUGGUCUGGAACUCCUGAGCUCAAGUGAUCCUCCUGCCUCAGCCUCCUAAAGUGUUAGAAUUAUUGAUGUGAGCCACUGCAUGUGGUCAAUUCUGUCAUUCUUGACAACAAGGAUGAAGCUGGGAGAUACUGUGCUGAGUAGAAUAAACCAAGCACAAAAAGACAAGUGCCUCAUGAGCUCACUUAUAUGUAGAAUCUGUAACAGUCGAACUCAUCAGAGAGCAGAAUAAUGGUUACCAGGGACUAGCAGUAGGCUGGAGGGAGAGGUGGGGAGGUGUCGGUGAAAUAAUAUAAAAUUUCAGUUAGAAAAAAUAAGAUUUAAGAGAUCUAUUGCACAACAUGGUGACUAUAGUUAUUAACACUGUAUUAUAUUCUUGAAAAUCACUAAGAUUUUAAUAUUCUCACCACAAAAAAUAAGCAUGGGGUGACAUGCAAAAGGAACAUCUAAAUGCUCUUCCUGUGAUCUUUGGGGAAAGCACCCGAGUAGAAAGAGUGUCCACGGUACAUUAUCCAUGUAAGAAGUUGUGUCUGGCUACUCCCUUGAACCAGCAGAGACAGAUAUCAGGACAACAUGGCCUUAAUAUGGAGCAUAGGAUUGUAA